rnacentral:rRNA from 1 species
UACGGGGGGGAGCAAGCGUUGUUCGGAUUUACUGGGCGUAAAGGGCGCGUAGGCGGUCAGCACAAGUCAGUUGUGAAAUCUCCGGGCUUAACUCGGAAAGGUCAACUGAUACUGUGCGACUAGAGUGCGGAAGGGGCAACUGGAAUUCUCGGUGUAGCGGUGAAAUGCGUAGAUAUCGGGAGGAACACCAGUAGCGAAGGCGGCUCGCUGGGCCAUUCCUGACGCUGAGACGCGAAAGCUAGGGGAGCGAACAGG